rnacentral:rRNA from 1 species
GACGAACUGUGCAAACGUUAUUCGGAAUCACUGGGCUUGAAGAGUGCGUAGGCGGUUUCGUAAGUAGGGUGUGAAAGCCCCCAGCUCAACUGGGGAACUGCGUCCUAAACUGCGAGGCUGGAGUGAGGUAGGGGUGUGUGGAACUUCCGGUGGAGCGGUGAAAUGUGUUGAUAUCAUCUGGAAUACCGGAGGCGAAGGCGGCUCACUGGGGGUUUUCUGACGCUGAGGAACGAAAGCCAGGGUAGCGAACGGG